UAGGGAAUCUUCCGCAAUGGACGCAAGUCUGACGGAGCAACGCCGCGUGAGUGAAGAAGGUUUUCGGAUCGUAAAACUCUGUUGUAAGAGAAGAACAAAUUGUAGAGUAACUGCUACAGUCUUGACGGUAUCUUACCAGAAAGCCACGGCUAACUACGUGCCAGCAGCCGCGGUAAUACGUAGGUGGCAAGCGUUGUCCGGAUUGAUUGGGCGUAAAGGGGGCGCAGGCUGCUUCUUAAGUCUGAUGUGAAAGCCCACGGCUUAACCGUGGAAGUGCAUUGUAAACUGGGAAGCUUGAGUACUGAAGAGGAAAGUGGAACUCCAUGUGUAUCGGUGGAAUGCCUAGAUCUAUGGAAGAACACCAGUGGCAAAAGCGACCUUCUUGUCUGUCACUGACGCUGAGGCCCGACAGCGUGGGUAGCAAACAGG
rnacentral:rRNA from 1 species